GGGCCGUUAGCUCAGCUGGUAGAGCGCUUCAAUGGCAUUGAAGAGGUCACCGGUUCGAUCCCGGUACGGUCCA
rnacentral:tRNA from 1 species